UUGUUUAUUACCCUAUCGGGUUUACACUGUCGGGCUUCGGGUAUCCGAUGGGUUUUAAAAAAAAAAAAAAUUAACAGAAGCGACGUCGUUUCUUCUCUCAACUCUCUCUCACCAUCUCAUCAUCGUCGUUUCUUCUCUGGACUCACCAUCUCAACCAGAGACGAGAUCCCAUUAUCCCAAUCGCCGCAGCAUCUCAUCUCUCGCCGCCUUAACGCCUCACCAUCUAAUCUCAUCUCUCGCUGCCUUAACGCCUCACCAUCUCAUCUCAUCUCAUCAUCGUCGUCACUCGUCAACCAGAGACGAGAUCCCAAUCAUCUCAUCUCAUCACGGUCAAAGUCAGAUCAGCAAGCAGGAUGGAUUCACAAACACUUGACACACUAGCAGCUCUUGAGGCUGCGAAUGAGCAGAUGGAGGUUGAUAAUGAUGAUGAAGCAGAAACUCAAGGACAAGCACAAAGUGAAACUCAACCUGUUCAAGCAACUGAAACUGUGAGUCAUUCUAAACGCACAAAGUCUCUUGUUUGGAACCAUUUCGUAGUAGUAGGAGUAGAGGCAGAUGGAAAAAGAAGAAGUCCUUACAGAAACCGUCUUCUUCCAAAAAAUGUUCAAGCAUUGCUUUGCACUCGAAACUGGUUAAGAGGUUUUGCUGAAUUUGAAGGUGAUGUUGAAGAUUAUUUUGAUGAAGACAAUUUAGACAAGGAUCCAACAACCACAACAAGUAGUUCUGCAAUAUGAGGUAGGUAGCAACUAGCAUCCAUAAGAAGUCAUCCAUCAGGUUCUUCAAACAGUGGAGAUCUAUUUCAGAAGGCUACCUUGAUCUUAUGUGAUGAUCUAUAUGAAAUGUCUUGGGUGAUUAUGAGUCUGUUUCUUUGAGUUGAUACUAUGUUAAAAUGAUACUAUGUUUCUGAAUCUGUUUCUUUAAGUUGAUAAUAUAUCUUAAUACUCUGUUUUUUA